UUCUAUAAAGGUCAGUAAAUCACUUUCAGUGGCCAAAUUGUUAAUGGUUUAACAGGGUUGUAAAAAAGGUGAACUUAUUAAUAUAAUCUUAAUGUAAUGUUUAAUGACAUUCAGUUACCCAUGUCAGAAGUAGUGAUAGCAGAUUUAAUAACUUUUGUUUUCUUUUGAGAGAUUGCUUGAGUGUCAGAGGGGAAAAGUGCAGCAAAAUAUCACUGUCACACUUAUUUGUAACAAACUUUCAUCUCCGUUUCUGAAACUCUGGGAUUUUUUUUUUCAAACAAAUACAAAUAUUGUUUGGUUUUUUAUAUAAUUUAGCAUAAUAACUAUCUUCCUGCAGUUUUCAGACAGCAAUUUCAACCAUACAUGAGUGUGUAUUUUCAGUAUUCUAAAUCUCAAAUGUUAUUUUGUAUGAGUAUUUAUAUGUGUAUAAAUUUUUAUUCUUUUCAUGUUUUGUUGAUAUACAGUAUGUAUGAAUGAAUAUUCUCUUCAUGUUGAACUUUGGUGUAUCAUGUUUUAUUUCAUAUAGCCAUUUUACACCAAAUUGCUUCAGGAGGGAAAACCCUGUUAUUAUAAAUGUUGCAGUGUAGCGGUGAAGAAACCAAAUUGUGUUUUUGACUGUACUCCGUCUGCAUCAGUGGACAGAUGUUACUGAUUGUUGUGUCUCCAUUGAAAGUGAAACUAAAAAGCUGUUUUAAUCACAAAUGUAGAUAAACUUGGAAUAGUUAUAUUAAAUUGUGUGACUGGAUUGGUG